GAACUGGAAGCUCAGACUUCCCCUGGCCACUUUCAGCUUCUAAUGCCCUUAAACCAACAGGCCAAGAAAGGAAUAACAGUGUCAGGAGGGGUGACUAAUCCAGAUUUCCACAGGGAAAUUGGAUUUCUUCUCCACAGCGGAAGCCCAGGCUGCGUUGAAGGCAAAGCAGAGAGCAGAGGUUCUUCAGUCCACGCAACGGUUCUUCUCUGAACAGCAACAGAGCAAACAGACAGGAGGCAAAGCCCAGACAGUGGACAGUGAUUCAAGUAAACCCCCCGAAACACUGAUGGACCCUCCUGGUGCCUGUCAGGAAAAAGUAGAAGAAAAGCCACCCCCUGCACCCACCAUAACCACCAAGUCUGUUAGAACUGCACCAAUCAAACCUCAGAGAAGCUUCUAUUUGGAAUGGAUGGCAAUUAACACAGAGAACCAUAACUGGCCACAGAAUGUCCAGCUUUAAAUGGAACAUACACAUGACACUCCCUCCUCUCAAGGCUUAGGAAUCAUUUGAGGAAGAGGAGUCAGAAAGAGUAAAAUAUCCUGAAGCAGUGAAUGACUACAGUGGAGCAGUAUCUUCCAGACAAAGCAGGAAAACUUCACAUAUGAACUCAUGGUGGUUGUGAUGUAGAAGCUUAGGAUCCAGACCAACUCUCAAUGUGGAGAGGGAAGGAGUUUUUGACCUUGAAGAUGCUCCAGAACUCAUGAAGCAAAAGCCUUACAGUGUUCAUUUUCUACAGAAUAAAACAUUUAUGGUAUUACAAUACAUUCAAAAAGAGGUAUAGUGAUAGACUGGUUUGCAAAGUUUCUCUGAAGGCUUCCUUGGUAGAACUGGAACUUCCCUGUUAAAACUUUUUAUACUUAGUCCUGAUAUAGUUUCCUUUCUGUUGAUGUGAUUAA